rnacentral:lncRNA from 1 species
GGAACUCUAUGUAAGGAGGGGGUUUAUAUGAGAGAAAUCUUCUAAAAUUUGACUAAUCGAACUCCAAUCGAACUCACUGAUGAGAAAGCAGUACAACUACUCGUCCCCCGUCUCACCUCCAUGGCAGUGCCACUUCCUCCGUCUGCCCCUGAGAGGCUGCCAGUUCAUCUCUGGCACAACAAUGUGACCAGCAGCCUGGACCGCCCACUCAUGUCUGCUGUGACUUCUGCUGGAGUGAAACCAGCCACAGCAAUGCACUAUAACAGGAACACACAUAGAGCAUACACAGUGCACCAUGAAUAUCCUAUGUGCUAUUUUGUGCAUGCUUCAUAAACAUAGACUUCUACCCACACAAACUCACACACAAGCUAACAAGUGUGUGCUAUGGCUCUGUUUGGAUGAAGUGGAGGAGUGUUAUAAUAAUUCUGCUGGUGUCAGUAAGUUAAUGGGGCCACUGGGAUUUGGAGUGAUGCACCCAAUGGUAAGAAUUGUUGUGCCUUUUUGUAGGAGCAUGGAUAAAGUUAGUAACAAAUGAUAUUCUGAACUGAUAACUAUUAUCUUUGUCUACCAACUUUGAUAAAUUAAAGAUAUUUUGGUUCAUUGUGCAUUUUUAUCUCUCUAUCAUUCUCAGUUGACACCCUCAUACUGUACAGGUACCAAUAAUCCACAACUCUGAAUAUUAAAUAAACUAAAUGCUUAUGUUAUGGCUUCAUUUGACGUAGUUUUUUAGGAUUUUAUAGCUAACAGAGGUCAAAUUUAUCCUAGAAAGAAACCUCAAAUAUCUUUUGACUUCGUGGUUGUGAUACAAAACAACCGCCCAUCAUGCAGUACAAACAUGCUGAUCCAGAACUGUGUCCAUGUGCACUGAGGCUGCAGUUAACAGGGUAGUGGUAUUAGGCUCUUCUUGGAACUGCGAAUGGGUGCCGCUGCUCUUCCAGUUGAUUUUGUUACGUAACUUUUGUCCAUGGCUCAUUAUUUACAGCGAUCACUGCAGGGGGAGUUUGAUUUAUCAAUGCCAGUGAGAUCGCAGCUGCUCUCAUUCCUGCACACGGUAGCUCUGUAGUUUGGGUGACCAGUCAGUGCAUCAAAAGGGAGACAGAAAAAGUUGUUUAGUUUCAUCUUUUUUUUUUGGUAUUUGUCAUCUGCACUUUAGCCGGACCACCAAGUUUUUUCUGCUCUGUGCAGUCUGGCAGGGCUGAGUGCCCAUUUGAUUUCAACAGACUUGUUUUCAGGCCGGCUUCUUUCUGAAAACUGAAAAGCCACCCUCUAUGUAAGAAGAAACAAAAUCCUCUGAAUGGACUGUCAUUUUUUAUUGCUGUUAUUUUUAUGUUAUUUUGCAGUUUACAUCUAGAUUUUUAUGAGUCCUUUUGCCCCUUUAUUAAAAGUUUUAAGCAGAAUUUGGUUGAGACCGAGAGUCCAGAUGCAGAUGCAAAUGUACAUUUUUAUGAAUGCUUGAAUGCAUCAGAAGUGCUUCUCAUAAAGUUUCUGAGUCAUUUAGCAAAAGUUAACAGUAAAGACACGGUCCAGAGAAAAUAAGAUUCCAGUUAUCUGACAUUACAAAAAGGACAUUUAAAUUGCAGAUAAAAGCACAAUAAUAGAAAAUGAAGCUGAAGAUGGUUGGAAUAAUCCAUCUUCAGCUGUACAUUAUGUCCUGUUCAAACAGAGCAGAAAAUAGGCUUCAGAGAUGCUGCCUAAGGGAGGCACUGCUGUACUCUGACAGAAACAUCACUGCUGCUCAUGAAAAAGGACAGGCCAUUUGCUGUGCACACAGCCAAGCCACUCCAGACAGUGGCAUGAGGUCUGUCUGUGUAGAGCAUCAUCCAAUCCAAAUGUUGCUUAUUAAGGCGAGAGACAGUUUUGUACAGGCUGUAAAAGUUCUGCAGCACAAAGUGGUCAUAAGAGUUUUAAUUGUGAUUAGAUUGUUGAACACAGAUUUUUCCUUUACAAAGAAAACUUCUUGGUUCAUGAUACAGAUUUAUUUACUACUUGUAACGAUGCAUUGGUUUUCUGAUUUAAGGAGACAAAAAUAGGCUGCAAAGGCUUUUUAAAAAGUUUUUAAAAAGUUGUAAAGAAAUUGGUCACGAUCCACAGCAUCCAUAAAUAGUUUUUCAACAGCACUAGAGAACACAAAAAGCACAGUACAAUAACAUGACAAAUGCUCAAACCUGAGCUUCUUUUGAUAGACUGUAGUUCAUCUCUGUCAGUAUUACGACAACAUUUAUCUGUCUGUGUCUUGAUUGAGUGGCUGACACACUGCGGAGCUGCAGUUACACACCAAUACCGAAGCAAUUCAAAGCCACACAUGUUAAAUAUAAGAAUCAAUUUUCUUUUAAAUGGGUCUCAUCAUCCUUUUCAAAAUUAUUCCUCUCUGUUAUGUUGUCUGUUUCACCUUUUUGUUCCCGUCUUUUGAUGACCACUCCCCUCUCUCAUCUGUUUCUCUACUUUAACCCUCAUCUCCUAUUAUUACUCUCAUCAUUUGUUUACCUUUGUUUGUCCAUCUGUUCUUUUAUUCGUGUCUCACACUUUACUCCUCGACAAUGGUUCUCUCUUCCUGACACACUGACAUACAUUUCUGAAUUGAUGACCUACAUUCACAACUCUGGGCUUCCAUCACUCGCUACAGCAAUCUCCCUCUCUCCUCCCUUGUUUAUCUUGCCCCGUCUCUCCCUCGCUAACCCUCACUCUCAUUCACGGGAUGUUGAUGAUUUUCAUCUGCAGCUGCCUCAUUAAAUGUUAAGUGGCUGUCAUGAUGUUUGUUUUUCAUUUCCUCUAUCAAUAGGAGAGUGCUUGUGUCUUUGUACUGUAUCAUUUUUUUCAAUAUGUGAUUUUUUUUUCCCUGGUGAUAAACCUGACUCUCUUUAUAUGCAACCUAUUUGAGAAAUUUAUAUAACUUUGUAACUGAAAAAAGUGGAUUUAGUGUGUUCAAGAAAUAAGCACAAGGGUUAUUUAGAAGACUGUGUGAAAAAAAGGCUUUUCAGAUGUACAACUUCUACAUCUGCUUUGACCUCAAUAUUUGAUUUUUUUCCCCAAAAGUCAAUAAAUGAGUUUUACUGUUUAAGUCUUCUCGGUCUGUAGACUAAAUGUGGUUUUGAUGAGCAGUUAAUCUUUGAAGGACCUCAGAAAAAUGAUCCUAAUUUGACCUGAAAUUCAAAAUUGCUGACUUACUCUAAGUUUUAAAAGAUAGACACAAGAGACUUUUUGUAGUAUUCUAGAAAAUUGUGUGCGUGGCUGAUAGUGCCAUUAAAGGGAUAUUCUGGCGUAAUAGUUUCUGCAGGAAAGGUCUCUAUUACUCCACUGGCCUCCUGUGUGACAUGUUUGGUUACGUUACAAGUAUUCUAAGACCUUUCCUGCAGAAACUAGGGGGGCGCUAUGACCAAGGUCUAAUAUUACCACACAAAUGUGUUUUGGCCUGGAUCUUUAUUAAGCAAGGUGAGAUCAGAUCAGACUGGAGCAUGAAACACUCAACUUUGAGGGCUUACCACAGCCAAGCCCUUUGACUUAUCUGCAGAAACCCAUCAGUCUUUCAUUGUUUAGAUCUCUUCUACCUGUAAAUUUGCUCAUGAGCAGAUAUGAGAAAUUAUCCCUGGAAAUGCCCCUAAAAACAUGUGUUUUUUGCUUGUGUUUUUAAAAUAUUGGACUUCCUAUUGACACUUCACUACACCAAAUCAAACCUCACUACUGUAACACUCUUUAACCUUACUUACAGGAUGUAUUUGUGAUUUGGUUUGAGUUCAUAGAGAAAGAAAGUCACUUUAAACUUUAAAUAUCCUUGAAGGCUUGUGGGUUUGCACAUCGAUUUGAAUUUGUAUAAACUGUGCCCUGACGACACAACUUCUCCCUGCUGUGAACUCGACACCAAAUCAACACAACACUCGACAUCGAAGUAAAAGCUUGAAUAGUUUUCUGACUUCUUAUUGGGUGAAAGUUGAGUUCCUGUCUUUCACUGUAGUCUCCUCUAUUACAGCAACAGAAUCCCACCAGUCAGCAUGGAUCCACCUGUUGCUGAGUGAAAAAGUAAUGUUUACUGUAUAACUUUUUUUCAGUAACAACCUCGAUUCUACUCUUAACUGUAAACAGCAAACAGUCAGGUCUGAUUGUCUUAUGUUUAUAGACAUGAUAGACAGAGUCCUGAUGAUGCUUUUAAGAUGAAUGAAGGGCAUGAAACAGCUCUAGCCUGAGAGCCUACAGUGCUUUAAUGCAGCCUUGACUUUAGCUGUACUGAGAUAAUUUCUGUGUUGCCUCACUUCAUCAGUGAGUGAGUAAACAGACAGAAAAGCUCGUCAAAUGCGGAACAAAAUGUUCUCAGAACAUUGGUCCUAUUAACAGUUUCUGUUUAAACAAGUUUAUCUAUCUUUUUCUCUUCAAAUAGGGGUUAAAACAGACUAGCUAAUCAUUGUUCCCAUUUAGGGUAUUCAUCAGAGAGUUGUGUGAUAAUAAGCUUGAACCUUAUGGAUAACCAUCGCUAUUUUGUUUAAAGCCAGAAUUUCUUACAGAUUACUUAGCCGUGCAUUUUUUUUUUAGGUAGAGAUCUUGAAUUAAUUUCUACAGGAUGUGAAAUGUGCCCUCUCCUGGGAACAGUAUGAAACUACACUCCUCAAUGUACCUACAGGUUUAGUGGCCCUGUAUAUCAUUUGGUACACAGAUGCCCUCAUGUCUGGGGUUAAAGUAGAUAUGACAAGUUGUGAAGAUAGAAAUUCAGUCCACUUCACCUAUUGCACCAUGUGUGCUCACCUUCUCCAUGCCAAAAUCAGGGCCCAGGUUCAGCCAUCAAGUCAAAAAGGUGUGGACAUUAUUCUGUAUGCACAUGAUGUUACCACAUGAUAAACAUGUGCAUAAGGAGAGUAGAUGGUUUAUGUGUAAGUGGAUAAGUGGAUUUGAACAAAUGUGUUUCACUAUUUUCCGCUCUCCCAUCAUCCAUGAAAAGUGUGAUUGUUAAAGAAAUAAAGAACUAAACAAAUCCUCAAUGAAUUUCACUCCCCUUUCAUGUUUUUUUUUUCAAUGAAACAGCAUCACUAGUUUCUGUCACUGAAAUGGGAUGCAUAAUAACAGCCUGUGCGUGUGAUGCUGUGCAAUCAGAGAAGAGAGAAAGGACCUUCGUCACCACGUGCCCCACGCUUGCACUAAACGUGAUGAGAAACAAGAGGGAAAAAGAGACGUUUGCACCUUUCCACCUUUCCCACGAAGGUCUUCCUGGCUGUAACUUCUUUUUCUUUUGGCAGUGGGAGAGGUCGUCUGCUUUGUAUUUUUUUUCCCCUUUUUCUAUGAAAUCUGGUCUUUUUUUCAAUUCUGCCAUCUGUAGCUUUCUUUUCCAUUAUUCCAAUCUUCCCAGUUCUAUUUAUCCUUUUCCUUUUCCUCUGUUUUCCUCCUGAUUCUCAUCUCCCGUGCUUGUGUUUUCAUCCAACGUCUGAUCUCUAUUUCCCCUUUCUUUAUUGUGUUUCUCUAUCACUGUGUUUCUCCGUGGCCACCGAAUUGCUGCCAACUGAUGCUUCUGUGCAGCAGGUGAUCAAUCAGCCCUCUAUUUUCCUCAGCACAAGGCACAGGGGUGCCGCAGCAGGCGGCCAUGACACGUGCUUGUGGGUUGACACUACCCCUACCACGACAACCCCCUCUGAUGCACAAACCCAGUCAGUAUUCUUGAUCUAUCUGUGCACCUCCUGUCCUCUCUGCUUUUUUGUUGCUUUGGGACCAUUUACUGAGCUUUUAUCCUGUAAUUGCUACAUUUUGACAUUUUGACAGUGCACUUCCAGCUUUGACCAAUUCUAAAAGUUAUUUAAACUUAAAUAAUUUCUUGCAAUUAACAACCUUGUCCGCACAUUGCUCUUUAAUCUCCUUUUCCCUGUAUAAUAACGAGCUUUGCCUAUAAAACCUUGGUAGCUAACUGUUUCCAUGUAGUCAGCUAGUCAAAAAUGAAAUCUUAUAAAGUUUUUCUUUGCUGUUUUAGAAGUUUUUCUUCACAUAGGCUUCGAACUUAAUAGGCCUGCACACUCACUCAUGUAGAACAACAAUCAGAAAACUGUCUAUACCAUUACAGACAUUAAUGUAAAACCCUCAACAAUGCUUUUUAUCAUUUUACUGUUGUUUUGCUUGAUCUUAAAUUAGCUCCUGCUCUGCAGCCUUCUGGAGUCUUCUGAUUGGCCAAAUGGAAACAGACCUCUGAUUGGCCAAAUAAAAAGAAGCCUCUCAUUGGUCAAAUAACAAAAGGUAUCCAACCCCCAAUUUCCACUGCAUCCGGAAUGGCUACAAAAAAGCUGUAUCCACCUAUCGUAGCUGAUCGUAACCAUUCAAGUUAAUGUGCCAAUUUCCACCGUCUUUUUCCAUUCCACUGCGGAUCGCCAGACUCCGCAGCAGAUCGCAAGAGUUCAAUUUUUUCUGGAUGCCGGAGCAUGCCGGAUAAAUUCAGCACCGAUUAACCAGUGCUGGAAAGGGCACAGACACUAAAUAAAACAUCCAGCUUCUUUUUAAAAUAAAACAAUCCAUGUUUCAAGCGGAUCGUAUUUCACAGCAUGCAAACGGGUGAGUACGAACAAGUGAAAGGUUUAUAGAAAGCAUUAGAUGACAUCUACUGCUUAUGUGGUUAGCCUAUGUGGCUAAAGACAACUUGUUAUUGCAUGAUUCCACGUGAACCCGCAGGUUCUUGUAAGUUCUCGUGAUUCCUGCUGUUCGUAUUCCACCACGAAAUUCCCCUUACAAAUGGCUCCAGUAGGAAUUGGCGGACAGCAAAAAUCGCUGCCGUUCCGGAUUGGAGCUGUUCCGGAUGCGGUGAGUAUUGGCGGUUGAAAGGCUCUUGAUGGAAGUCAAAAUGGUUUUGCUUUUUUCAUGUGUAUACCAAACUACUUUUUUAAAGCUGUACUGCACCUGUCACAUAAACAUGUACGUAUUGUUACUUUCCUCUAAUACUUCUGACCAAGAAAAAAAAAUGCAAUUAAUUCUGCAUAGUAAUGCCCAAGCAGUGACUCAGCAACCAACUGCUCUCGAGGAGAUGAAUGUUUCUAAUUAGAUGUUUAUCUUUGUUUCACCAGAUGAUGACCUUGAAAGUCAUUCUCACAGAUAUAAAAAAAGGUCACCCUGAAUACAAGGCCUACCACAGUGGAAGACUUGAUAAGCAAGCUGAAAGAAUCACUGGGACUUUAUUACAACUACAGCCUCCAAUACAAAGAUCCUGAAUUCAAUUACGAACUAUGCAAUCUGACGGAUAUUGAAGAUCUUACAGAAAAACCUACCUAGAUCAGCUACAUGUCCAACUUUCUGGAGGGAUUUGAUCAGGCAGCCUUCGGGGGAGCCCGCAAAGACUUGAUUGAUGAAAUGCAGAAGACAAUACCGAAUGGACCACUUGUGAAACAGAAGAUGGACCUGACUUUAGCAUGAGGAAAAAAGAGGUGGUGGAGUCUGAACCUGCCAUAUCCCAAUCCAGAUCUCUUUUUAAAUCUGAUACAAACAUACACAAUGAAUCAGCUUCUGUGAGACUUUUAGUUUUCAUCAGAGGCCUUUAAAACAUGCUCACUAGGAUCAGUAUAAUUACCCUCUGCUGUCCUUUAAAUUCUCACUCUCUGACAUAAACUGUGAGAAAAAACAAUUACCCAGGUGCAACAAAUUCCCUUGAGCUACUUUCCUCCCAGGUUGUGAUAACAGAAAGGAGAAGCAAACUUAGCAUUUAUAACUGUCCACUCAUUAAACAGAUUUUUGAUAUCAGAGACAGAGAUAUGGACAUUUUAAUGUGUAUACAAAUGAACUUGGUUGAUUAACCAAAUUGGACAUAUCUUGUGUCAAUAUCUAAUAACAUAUAAAUUGAGUGAAAGGUGAAUCUUCUCCAUCUAACAGUGAGCUUUCUGAGGACAAAAUCUAAAAGCCCUGCAGUGCAGCUUGGGCUCUGGCUCUCACUUUUCCUGGUAUGCUGUUGAAUCUUGCACCAUGUUAUCACCUUCUCUUGUCUCCUAAGAUGAUCUCUUCUCAUGGCAGUGAGACAAUAUUCAGUAUUUUUUGCUGUCUGGGGAGCAGCUAAAAAUAAACUUGUGCAAACAGGCUGGACUCAUUACUGAACAAGCUGACAGAAUCUGCUGUCCACUAACCAUCAAAAAGUUCUGCCAUCAGCUUCACUUGAACCACAUACAGGAAUCUUUCCCAGUCUCCCAUGAUUGUGAAAGGGGUGUCAUUACCUUUGUGGUUGCCUUUAUUAAACUCAAAUUGUACACGAAUAAGCCCAUCAGCAAUUCAGGCUAGUGUGAAUAUGUCAGAUUUCUUACAAUCAUUAAUGUUUUUGCAGGUACUUCUAAAAAUAAUGUAAUACCCUGAUAAAUAUCAGUGGUAUUUGUUUCAUUAUCUUAAUGUAAAUAAGUUAAGGAUAACAUGCCAGUUCAUGGUUAAGUCAUACCUGCCAACAUUUGAGUUAUAAAAUCCAGAAGGUUUUUGCAGUGCACGCCG